UGGUUCCUACGGGAGGCAGCAGUGGGGAAUAUUGGACAAUGGGGGGAACCCUGAUCCAGCGACGCCGCGUGAGUGAAGAAGUAUUUCGGUAUGUAAAGCUCUAUCAGCAGGGAAGAAAAUGACGGUACCUGACUAAGAAGCCCCGGCUAACUACGUGCCAGCAGCCGCGGUAAUACGUAGGGGGCAAGCGUUAUCCGGAUUCACUGGGCGUAAAGGGAGCGCAGGCGGCACGGCAAGUCUGAUGUGAAAACCCGGGGCUCAACCCCGGGACUGCAUUGGAAACUGCCGGGCUGGAGUGUCGGAAG
rnacentral:rRNA from 1 species